UUCAUGCACAAACGUUUCCAAAGUUCUCUGGGAUGGGAGUCCAGAUCUUGAAAAGUGGAUAGUAACAGCAAAUAACUUGUGGGAAAAAGACAACUCCCAUGUUUAUUCAGACAUCCACAGGGUACUCUGAAACCAGCUGUUACAUCAGGCUCCAAAGCAAGGAAACACUGAGGUCUCAACAUGUGCAUUUCUACAGACACCAUUAAUCAUCCUUCUGUCAAGAUCUUCUUCCCACACCAGGCUUUACUGUACAUUCCUUGCGUUUUCCUACCAUGAUGUCAGCCCAGAGUGGAACAAAGAUAAGAAUUGCUCAAGAUUUUCCUUUAAAUGAUCCUAUUUCUACAAAGCUAUAUAUAAAAUAAAACCCUCAUACUCACCACGGAAUUUGGUCUGAGAAAUUUGUCCAAUAAUAAUCAGUGGUUUUAUUGCUAUCAUAAAUAACAGGAGCUGCCUCUGACAGAAAGAUGCUUACAGGAUUGAAGGCUAUUCUGUACACAACCAUUUACUUGCUAAGCAGUAUGGAAAAAUUAUGUUGCUGCUGUAUUUGCAUAUUUUCUUAUUAUAAAUGUUACCACAGCUAUAACAUAUCAACUUUAGUAUACUAUUAAGCCCAAAGGGAAGGAAAAAAACUGAUUGUAGUAUAACUUCCAAGGCUCUGGGAAAGCACCUGUUUCCCUUAUCCUUUGAGCUUUAGGGGUUUUUUAACCUCAGACUCGCCAAUAAACUCCCUUAAUAAUAACUUAAGAGGUGAUCAGUUGUAUUUACACAUCCCAAGACUUCUAACAAACCAACAAGUACUUACAGCACAAUUUCACUCCUGAAAGAAAAUGUUUUCACCAUUGGCACAGCUGAAUUUUUUCCUAUGCUGCUGCUGUUCAUUAUUUUGCUGUGCCAGGGUUAUUUGUACUACACACAGUAUCACUUUCAGGCAAAAAUUCAGAAAGCAGUCUUGCAAUGGGUAGUGCCCACAAGCAGAGUAGAGUUGCAGAUUCCAACCUGACUGCAUACCAAAGCAACAAGACAUUAUUAUUUAUAUUCCAGUAGCACACAGACCCAAAUUUGGGAUCACAGCCCAAUGUGAUUAGGUGCAAUGUAAAGACGUAGGUAAAGAACAACCCAAACCAAGAGGAUCAUACAUAAAAUGAUGAAGAAAAAAACCCAAAACAAGCCAAAAGUCAGGGGAAAAA